rnacentral:rRNA from 1 species
GAUGAACGCUAGCGGCAGGCUUAACACAUGCAAGUCGAGGGGUAUUGGUUUUCGGACCAAGAGACCGGCGCACGGGUGCGUAACGCGUAUGCAAUCUACCUUUUGCAGAGGGAUAGCCCAGAGAAAUUUGGAUUAAUACCUCAUAGUAUAGUACUUUGGCAUCAAGGAACUAUUAAAGUCACAACGGCAAAAGAUGAGCAUGCGUCCAUUAGCUAGUUGGUAAGGUAACGGCUUACCAAGGCUACGAUGGGUAGGGGUCCUGAGAGGGAGAUCCCCCACACUGGUACUGAGACACGGACCAGACUCCUACGGGAGGCAGCAGUGAGGAAUAUUGGACAAUGGGCGCAAGCCUGAUCCAGCCAUGCCGCGUGCAGGAUGACGGUCCUAUGGAUUGUAAACUGCUUUUUAANACAGGAAGAACACUCCGAGUGUCGGAGCUUGACGGUACUAGUAAGAAUAAGCACCGGAUAACUACGUGCCAGCACGCCGACGG